CUACGGGGCGCAGCAGUGAGGAAUAUUGCACAAUGGGGGGAACCCUGAUGCAGCAACGCCGCGUGGAGGAUGACGCCUUUCGGUUUGGAAACUUUUUUUAUAUGUCAAGAAAAUGACGGUAGCAUAUGAAUAAGCACCGGCUAACUCCGUGCCAGCAGCCGCGGUAAUACGGAGGGUGCAAGCGUUACUCGGAAUCACUGGGCGUAAAGGACGCGUAGGCGGGUUGGAAAGUCAGGUGUGAAAUCCUACAGCUUAACUGUAGAACUGCACUUGAAACUUCUAAUCUAGAGUAUGGGAGGGGGAGAUGGAAUUAGUGGUGUAGGGGUAAAAUCCGUGGAUAUCACUAGGAAUACCUAAAGCGAAGGCGAUCUCCUGGAACAUUACUGACGCUAAGGCGUGAAAGCGUGGGGAGCAAACAGGAUUAGAUACCCCUGUAGUC
rnacentral:rRNA from 1 species